GAAGAACGAUUGCCUUCUAUAUAGCCGAAGGAAAGAGCCCCGACACAUUCCUGUUCAUGGAGGGCUCAGAUGACGCCCCACCAAAAGAAGGGAAAGUUUACUAUACCGACUACGAGAUCUGCUCGGUCCUUGACGUACCUUAUCAUGGACGCCAGUGCAUAUUGUGGGCAACAGAAACCACCAAAGAUUCGCUUCCUCAAGAAUGCCUGGACCAGUAUGAAAAUAAUUGUGGCGUAGGGGUGCCUUUGUACACCCACGACCUAUGUGCGGACAGUGAGGUCUCCAACU